GAUGAACGCUGGCGGCGUGCCUAAUACAUGCAAGUCGAGCGAACAGAUAAGGAGCUUGCUCCUUUGACGUUAGCGGCGGACGGGUGAGUAACACGUGGGUAACCUAUCUAUAAGACUGGAAUAACUCCGGGAAACCGUGGCUAAUGCCGGAUAACAUGUUGAACCGCAUGGUUCUACAGUGAAAGGCGGCUUUGCUGUCACUUAUAGAUGGACCCGCGCCGUAUUAGCUAGUUGGUGAGGUAACGGCUCACCAAGGCAACGAUACGUAGCCGACCUGAGAGGGUGAUCGGCCACACUGGAACUGAGACACGGUCCAGACUCCUACGGGAGGCAGCAGUAGGGAAUCUUCCGCAAUGGGCGAAAGCCUGACGGAGCAACGCCGCGUGAGUGAUGAAGGUCUUCGGAUCGUAAAACUCUGUUAUUAGGGAAGAACAAAUGCGUAAGUAACUGUGCGCGUCUUGACGGUACCUAAUCAGAAAGCCACGGCUAACUACGUG
rnacentral:rRNA from 1 species